AUUGAACGCUGGCGGCAGGCCUAACACAUGCAAGUCGAGCGGGGCGGCGGACGGGUGAGUAAUGCAUAGGAAUCUGCCUGGUCGUGGGGGAUAACGUCCGGAAACGGGCGCUAAUACUACAUACUAUCAGCUUCGCCUGGGUGGGAGUAGCUAGUUGGGGGGGUAAAGGCCUACCAAUGCGACGGUCCGUAACUGGUCUGAGAGGAUGAUCAGUCACACUGGAACUGAGACACGGUCCAGACUCCUACGGGAGGCAGCAGUGGGGAAUAUUGGACAAUGGGCGAAAGCCUGAUCCAGCCAUGCCGCGUGUGUGAAGAAGUUCUUCGGAUUGUAAAGCACUUUAAGUUGGGAGGCGUUACCAACAGAAUAAGCACCGGCUAACUUCGUGCCAGCCGCCGCGGUAAUUC
rnacentral:rRNA from 1 species